rnacentral:rRNA from 1 species
ACGGAAGGCAGCAGUGGGGAAUAUUGGACAAUGGAGGAAACUCUGAUCCAGCGACGCCGCGUGAGUGAAGAAGUAUUUCGGUAUGUAAAGCUCUAUCAGCAGGGAAGAUAAUGACGGUACCUGACUAAGAAGCCCCGGCUAACUACGUGCCAGCAGCCGCGGUAAUACGUAGGGGGCAAGCGUUAUCCGGAUUUACUGGGUGUAAAGGGAGCGUAGACGGCGAUGCAAGUCUGAAGUGAAAGCCCGGGGCUCAACCCCGGAACUGCUUUGGAAACUGUAUAGCUAGAGUGCAGGAGAGGUAUGUGGAAUUCCUAGUGUAGCGGUGAAAUGCGUAGAUAUUAGGAGGAACACCAGUGGCGAAGGCGACAUACUGGACUGUAACUGACGUUGAGGCUCGAAGGCGUGGGGAGCAAACAGGAUUAGAUACCCUGGUA